UAUGCGCAUGCGUUAACUUCGGCACUUCCGGUUUUCACGUGUGGUUCGGUUGCCCGAAUUAAUUUAGUUGUUCGCCUUGCGGUGUGUCAGCUUGUUGUUGUGAAUCAGCAGCCACAGAUGAAAGAAAAAAGGACCACAAUUGCAAAGAAAGGGUGAUGGUCAUGCCAUUCAUGAUUACAAUACCAGCAAGAUUGUCUUCUUUGGUGAGCUGUUCUCAAUAAAAUCCCCGAGAACUUUGAGGUACCAUUGGAUUUUCAUGCAGGAUGGAUAGGUCAAAGGAGUCUUCAAGUUGUACAUUGCCAGUUAUAAGACCCAGAAAAGGAGUUGCCUUUUUGGACACUGAAGUAUCCACUAUUCCUGUGGUAACACUGUCAUAGAUGUGGUUUCCAAGAGAAAUACAGUUAAUGAAUAGAUUUAUCCAGUUUAAGAGAAGUGACAUGUAUUGGCUUAGUGAAAGAGGAGACUUAUGGAGAAAAUAAAAUUUGGCCAGCAGUAAAGCAAUGAA